CGGUUUGGGACUCAGGAUGUGGUCAAGUGUUGUUAAGGCAUGUUCAGCAACAAUACUUGACCACAUUU
rnacentral:miRNA from 13 species